CCUACGGGUGGCAGCAGUGGGGGAUAUUGGGCAAUGGAGGAAACUCUGACGCAGCAACGCCGCGUGAAUGAUGAAGGUCUUCGGAUUGUAAAGUUCUUUUCUAAGGGAAGAAGAAAGUGACGGUACCGUAGGAAUAAGCCUCGGCUAACUACGUGCCAGCAGCCGCGGUAAUACGUAGGAGGCAAGCGUUAUCCGGAUGUACUGGGUGUAAAGGGUGCGUAGGUGGUUUGACAAGUUGGUAGCGUAACUCCGGGGCUCAACCUCGGCACUGCUACUGAAACUGUCGGUAUUGAGUGCAGGAGAGGCAAGUGGAAUUCCUGGUGUAGCGGUGGAAUGCGUAGAUAUUAGGAGGAACACCAGUGGCGAAGGCGGUUUGCUGGACGGUAACUGACGCUGAGGCACGAAAGCGUGGGGAGCAAACAGGAUUAGAUACCCGGGUAGUC
rnacentral:rRNA from 1 species